UACGUAGGGUGCGAGCGUUGUCCGGAAUUAUUGGGCGUAAAGAGCUCGUAGGCGGCUUGUCGCGUCGGAUGUGAAAGCCCGGGGCUUAACUCCGGGUCUGCAUUCGAUACGGGCAGGCUAGAGUUCGGUAGGGGAGAUCGGAAUUCCUGGUGUAGCGGUGAAAUGCGCAGAUAUCAGGAGGAACACCGGUGGCGAAGGCGGAUCUCUGGGCCGAUGCUGACGCUGAGAAGCGAAAGCAUGGGGAGCGAACAGG
rnacentral:rRNA from 1 species